CCUACGGGGCGCAGCAGUGAGGAAUAUUGGUCAAUGGCCGGAAGGCUGAACCAGCCAUGCCGCGUGAAGGUCAGUGCCCUAUGGGCGUUAAACUUCUUUUGUGCGGGAGCAAUAAUGGUCACGUGUGGCCAGACGAGAGUACCGUACGAAUAAGCAUCGGCUAACUCCGUGCCAGCAGCCGCGGUAAUACGGGGGAUGCAAGCGUUAUCCGGAUUUAUUGGGUUUAAAGGGUGCGUAGGCUGUGAGGUAAGUCAGCGGUGAAAUGCCCCCGCUCAACGGGGUGAAGUGCCAUUGAUACUGCCUGGCUGGAAUGCGGAUGCCGUGGGAGGAAUGUGUGGUGUAGCGGUGAAAUACAUAGAUAUCACACAGAACACCGAUUGCGAAGGCAUCUCACGAAUCCGCGAUUGACGCUGAUGCACGAAAGCGUGGGUAUCAAACAGGAUUAGAUACCCCAGUAGUC
rnacentral:rRNA from 1 species